CUGACAGCGAGGAGGUUUUAACCCAGUCACACAGUAUAGUGGAGAGGGAAGGGUCUCUCAGUCACCCUCAGACUGACAGCGAGGAGGUUUUAACCCAGUCACACAGUAUAGUGGAGAGGGAAGGGUCUCUCAGUCACCCCAGACUGACAGCGAGGAGGUUUUAACCCAGUCACACAGUAUAGUGGAGAGGGAAGGGUCUCUCAGUCACCCUCAGACUGACAGCGAGGAGGUUUUAACCCAGUCACACAGUAUAGUGGAGAGGGAAGGGUCUCUCAGUCACCCUCAGACUGACAGCGAGGAGGUUUUAACCCAGUCACACAGUAUAGUGGAGAGGGAAGGGUCUCUCAGUCACCCUCAGACUGACAGCGAGGAGGUUUUAACCCAGUCACACAGUAUAGUGGAGAGGGAAGAGUCUCUCAGUCACCCUCACACUGACA
ensembl:lncRNA